rnacentral:rRNA from 1 species
GAGCGUAAACUCCUUUUCUUAGGGAAGAAUUCUGACGGUACCUAAGGAAUAAGCACCGGCUAACUCCGUGCCAGCAGCCGCGGUAAUACGGAGGGUGCAAGCGUUACUCGGAAUCACUGGGCGUAAAGGGCGCGUAGGCGGAUUAUCAAGUCUCUUGUGAAAUCUAAUGGCUUAACCAUUAAACUGCUUGGGAAACUGAUAGUCUAGAGUGAGGGAGAGGCAGAUGGAAUUGGUGGUGUAGGGGUAAAAUCCGUAGAUAUCACCAAGAAUACCCAUUGCGAAGGCGAUCUGCUGGAACUCAACUGACGCUAAGGCGCGAAAGCGUGGGGAGCAAACAGGAUUAGAUACCCUGGUAGUCCACGCCCUAAACGAUGUACACUAGUUGUUGGGGUGCUAGUCAUCUCAGUAAUGCAGCUAACGCAUUAAGUGUACCGCCUGGGGAGUACGGUCGCAAGAUUAAAACUCAAAGGAAUAGACGGGGACCCGCACAAGCGGUGGAGCAUGUGGUUUAAUUCGAAGAUACGCGAAGAACCUUACCUGGGCUUGAUAUCCUAAGAACCUUUUAGAGAUAAGAGGGUGCUAGCUUGCUAGAACUUAGAGACAGGUGCUGCACGGCUGUCGUCAGCUCGUGUCGUGAGAUGUUGGGUUAAGUCCCGCAACGAGCGCAACCCACGUAUUUAGUUGCUAACGGUUCGGCCGAGCACUCUAAAUAGACUGCCUUCGUAAGGAGGAGGAAGGUGUGGACGACGUCAAGUCAUCAUGGCCCUUAUGCCCAGGGCGACACACGUGCUACAAUGGCAUAUACAAUGAGACGCAAUACCGCGAGGUGGAGCAAAUCUAUAAAAUAUGUCCCAGUUCGGAUUGUUCUCUGCAACUCGAGAGCAUGAAGCCGGAAUCGCUAGUAAUCGUAGAUCAGCCAUGCUACGGUGAAUACGUUCCCGGGUCUUGUACUCACCGCCCGUCACACCAUGGGAGUUGAUUUCACUCGAAGCCGGAAUACUAAACUAGUUACCGUCCACAGUGGAAUCAGCGACUGGGGUGAAGUCGUAACAAGGUAACCGUAGGAGAACCUGCGGUUGGAUCACCUCCUUUCUA